UGCUAUUUUUUGUGUAUUUUUGUGUUUGUGGAAGAAACUCCGGUCACCGCCAUCUCUUCUCCGGUCACCGCCAUCUCUUCUCCGGUCACCGCCAUCUCUUCUCCGGUCACCACCAUCUCUUCUCCGGUCACCACCUCAAAAACCGGGAGUAUGUUUUCGAUAUUGUUGAUAUUCGCGUAUCUGAUGGCUGAUGUGGCCCCCUGGGGACAUGGGGGUGACGGCGCUGGUGAUCCACCGAUUCCUCCUGGUGGAUUUCGUGGCACACAUGAGACAGACGCGGUUCCCCCGAAGAGGGUUAGGGGGAAAGCAAAAAACGAGAAACUAAGGCGUCUGGUAAAAGCGGGGGGGGCCUGU